rnacentral:rRNA from 1 species
AGAGCGAACGCUGGCGGCAUGCUUAACACAUGCAAGUCUCACGGGCAGCAAUGUCAGUGGCGGACGGGUGAGUAACGCGUAGGUAUCUAUCCAUGGGUGGGGGAUAACGUCGGGAAACUGACGCUAAUACCGCAUGACACCUGAGGGUCAAAGGCGCGAGUCGCCUGUGGAGGAGCCUGCGUACGAUUAGCUAGUUGGUGGGGUAACUGCCUACCAAGGCGACGAUCGUUAGCUGGUCUGAGAGGAUGAUCAGCCACACUGGGACUGAGACACGGCCCAGACUCCUACGGGAGGCAGCAGUGGGGAAUAUUGGACAAUGGGCGAAAGCCUGAUCCAGCAAUGCCGCGUGUGUGAAGAAGGUCUUCGGAUUGUAAAGCACUUUCGGCGGGGACGAUGAUGACGGUACCCGCAGAAGAAGCCCCGGCUAACUUCGCGCCAGCAGCCGCGGUAA